rnacentral:lncRNA from 1 species
GAGGACCCUUGAGUUUUUGAUAUAGUUUGCUUUUCCCUUAUCACCGGUGUAGUUCAUCACUUUCUCUUUUUCUCUCUCCUCCUUUUUUUAUGUUCGAGUGAGGGUUUUUUCUCUACUCUUAACAGGGUUGUGGGAGUGUAGAGGAGCCGUUGAGGAGGCUUUCCCCCUCAUCCGGUCUUGAUCGAUCGGGUCUUCAUUUGUGUCAAGAUGAGGUUCUCCUCCUGUUCCCGACACAG